AAGUCGUAACAAGGUUUCCGUAGGUCAAGUUUUGCCUACCACAGCGAGCGCCGCUCGCUAGUCUCCCCUGGAGGCGACACACUCAGCGUGCGGAGAGAUCCUCUCAGGAGGCAAAUCCGCAGCUCCUACCCGGAGUUCAGAGGCUCAAUGAGUGUGGGUUCACCGAGCGUGAGCUUGAGAUAGAGUCCGUCCCCGCUGGCAACUGCUGGGAGUUAACGGAACCUGCGGAAGGAUCAUUAAAGAAUACAAGGCUCUCGAGCCCUAUUCUCACCCUUUGUUUAUUAACUUUGUUGCUUUGGCAGGCCUCCGGCUUUGGCUGGGUCGCGUCUGUCAGAGGCCUAACUCUUGAAUCUCUGCUGUCUGAGUACUAUCUAAUAGUUAAAACUUUCAACAACGGAUCUCUUGGUUCUGGCAUCGAUGAAGAACGCAGCGAAAUGCGAUAAGUAAUGUGAAUUGCAGAAUUCAGUGAAUCAUCGAAUCUUUGAACGCACAUUGCGCCCUCUGGUAUUCCGGGGGGCAUGCCUGUUCGAGCGUCAUUACAACCCUCAAGCUCUGCUUGGUGUUGGGCCCGCCCUGUAGGGCCUGCCUCAAAGUCAGUGGCGGCACCGUCUGACCCUAAGCGUAGUACUACUCGCCGCUUCUGGAAUCGGUCGGCUGCCUGCCAGCCUAACCCCCACCAUCAAGGUUGACCUCGGAUCAGGUAGGGAUACCCGCUGAACUUAAGCAUAUCAAUAAGCGGAGGAAAAGAANCCAACAGGGAUUGCCUCAGUAACGGCGAGUGAAGCGGCAACAGCUCAAAUUUGAAAGCUGGCUCCUUUGGGGGCCCGCGUUGUAAUUUGUAGAGGAUGCUUCGGGUGCGGCGCCGGUCUAAGUUCUUUGGAACAAGACGUCAUAGAGGGUGAGAAUCCCGUAUGUGACUGGUUGCCUGUGCCCGUGUGAAGCUCCUUCGACGAGUCGAGUUGUUUGGGAAUGCAGCUCUAAAUGGGUGGUAAAUUUCAUCUAAAGCUAAAUAUUGGCCAGAGACCGAUAGCGCACAAGUAGAGUGAUCGAAAGAUGAAAAGCACUUUGGAAAGAGAGUUAAACAGUACGUGAAAUUGUUGAAAGGGAAGCGCUUGCAAUCAGACUUGCGCGGCGUCGAUCAGCCUGGGUUCUCCCUGGUGCACUCGGCGCCGCUCAGGCCAGCAUCAGUUUCGGCGGUGGGAUAAAGGCCUAGGGAACGUAGGUCGCCUCGGCGACUGUUAUAGCCCUAGGUGCCAUGCCGCCUGUCGGGACUGAGGACCGCGCUUCGGCUAGGAUGCUGGCGUAAUGGUUGUAAGCGACC
rnacentral:rRNA from 1 species